rnacentral:rRNA from 1 species
AUUGAACGCUGGCGGCAUGCUUUACACAUGCAAGUCGAACGGUAACAGGCCUUCGGGUGCUGCCGAGUGGCGAACGGGUGCGUAAUGCAUCGGAACGUACCCAGAGGUGGGGGUUAACGCAGCGAAAGCUGGGCUAAUACCGCAUGUGAUCUGAUGAUGACAGCGGGGGACCGAGCAGCAAUGUUUGACCUCGCGCCUUUGGAUCAGCCGAUGUCGGAUUAGCUAGUUGGUGGGGUAAAGGCCUACCAAGGCGACGAUCCGUAGCUGGUCUGAGAGGACGACCAGCCACACUGGGACUGAGACACGGCCCAGACUCCUACGGGAGGCAGCAGUGGGGAAUUUUGGACAAUGGGCGCAAGCCUGAUCCAGCAAUGCCGCGUGCGGGAAGAAGGCCUUCGGGUUGUAAAGCGCUUUUGGCAGGAACGAAACGGUGUCCGCUAAUACCGGGCGCUAAUGACGGUACCUGCAGAAUAAGCACCGGCUAACUACGUG